UACGGGAGGCAGCAGUGGGGAAUAUUGGGCAAUGGGCGAAAGCCUGACCCAGCAACGCCGCGUGAAGGAAGAAGGUCUUCGGAUUGUAAACUUCUUUUAUGAGGGACGAAGGACGUGACGGUACCUCAUGAAUAAGCCACGGCUAACUACGUGCCAGCAGCCGCGGUAAU
rnacentral:rRNA from 1 species